UCCAGGGUAGCCUAGUGGACAUGACAUCUGCCCGGUAAGCUGAACACUGUGGGUUCGAUUCCCAUCCCUGGUAA
rnacentral:tRNA from 1 species